GACGGCACAGGAGCCGGUCAUCAUCCCCAAAGACACAGCUCCGAAUACCUCAUCCUGAAAUCCCAAAGAUCAAAAUCCCAAAAGUAUAAAUCUGGAAAAAAUAAUGUCGAUGUUAUUUAUUUACAUUUUUAAAAGGAUUAUGAUCCAAACUCAGCUGGGCCUCCCCUCCCUGCCCCAGGAUUGUGGAGUGAGAACGUUGCAGCAGGAGAGAACAACGCAGCAAAGCACAGCAGGGGAACCGGAAAUGCUCACCUUUUGACAGGGUACUUUUAGUUCUGGGGCCUUAUCUUAAGGAUAUUCCAACAUAUACAAAAAGAUUCAUGCACAGAGAUAUUUACUUUAGUAUUAUUUACCAUAGGAAAAAAGUUGGAAACAAUACAUUUUAUGUUCUGUAAAAUGAAAGAACAGUUAAAUAAAUCAUGGCUCUAAGACGACUCCA
ensembl:lncRNA novel transcript